rnacentral:tRNA from 1 species
GCCUGGGUGGCUCAGUCGGUUGAGCAUCUGACUUCAGCUCAGGUCAUGAUCUCACAGCUCGUGAGUUUGAGCCCCGCAUCAGGCU